CAACACACUAGUCAACUAUCAACAACCACAUACCCAUCUACAGAUUCCUGGAGUGUGCAGGACAGCAAUUUAUUCCAAAAUGUUGCAGUUUUUCCUGAUUCUCUCUGCAGUUUAUGCCAUGGGCUUGGCAGCACCUUUACCAGAUCUUUUUCUCCUACUCACCUGCUGUUGGGGGACGGCAGUGGG